UACGAGGGGGGCGAGCGUUGUUCGGAAUUAUUGGGCGUAAAGGGCGCGUAGGCGGUGCGGUAAGUCACCUGUGAAACCUCUGGGCUCAACUCAGAGCCUGCAGGCGAAACUGCCGUGCUGGAGUGUGGCAGAGGGAGGUAGAAUUCCACGUGUAGCGGUGAAAUGCGUAGAUAUGUGGAGGAAUACCGAUGGCGAAGGCAGCCUCCUGGGCCAACACUGACGCUCAUGCACGAAAGCGUGGGGAGCAAACAGG
rnacentral:rRNA from 1 species